GACGAACGCUGGCGGCGUGCCUAAUACAUGCAAGUCGAACGCAUUUUCUUUCACCGUAGCUUGCUACACCGAAAGAAAAUGAGUGGCGAACGGGUGAGUAACACGUGGUUAACCUGCCCAUCAGCGGGGGAUAACACUUGGAAACAGGUGCUAAUACCGCAUAAUUCCAUUUACCGCAUGGUAGAUGGGUGAAAGGCGCUUUUGCGUCACUGUUGGAUGGACCCGCGGUGCUUUAGCUAGUGGGUGCGGUAACGGCCUACCAGGGCUGCGAUGCAUAGCCGACUGGGGAGGGGGUCCGCCAAACUGGGACUUGGACACCGCCCAGACCUCUAAGGGGGGCAGCCGGAGGGGAACCUCGGCCAUGGACGCAAGUCUUACCGGGGAACGCCGCGGGAGGGAAGAAGGGUUUCGGAUCGGAAAACUCUGGUGUUAGGGAAGAACAAGAAUGAGAGUGGAAAGUGCAUCCCUUGACGGUAUCUAACCAGAAAGCCACGGCUAACUACGUG
rnacentral:rRNA from 1 species